rnacentral:rRNA from 1 species
UACGUAGGGUGCGAGCGUUGUCCGGAAUUAUUGGGCGUAAAGAGCUUGUAGGUGGUUUGUCGCGUCUGCUGUGAAAAUCCGAGGCUCAACCUCGGACUUGCAGUGGGUACGGGCAGACUAGAGUGUGGUAGGGGAGACUGGAAUUCCUGGUGUAGCGGGUGGAAUGCGCAGAUAUCAGGAGGAACACCGAUGGCGAAAGGCAGGUCUCUGGGCCAUUACUGACACUGAGAAG